rnacentral:rRNA from 1 species
CCUACGGGAGACAGCAGUGAGGAAUAUUGGUCAAUGGCCGGAAGGCUGAACCAGCCAAGUCGCGUGAGGGACGACUGCCCUAUGGGUUGUAAACCUCUUUUAUAAGGGAAGAAGAAAUGCUACGUGUAGCAUGAUGCCUGUACCUUAUGAAUAAGCAUCGGCUAACUCCGUGCCAGCAGCCGCGGUAAUACGGAGGAUGCGAGCGUUAUCCGGAUUUAUGGGGUUUAAAGGGUGCGUAGGCGGUUUUUUAAGGUCGUGGUUAAACGUCGGGGCUUCACCUUGAUUUGCCAUUUAUACUGUCAGACUCGUGUUCAGACGAGGUAGGCGGACUCCGUUCCGUAGC